AUUGAACGCUGGCGGCAGGCUUAACACAUGCAAGUCGAGCGGGGAAAGGUAGCUUGCUACCUGACCUAGCGGCGGACGGGUGAGUAAUGCUUAGGAAUCUGCCUAUUAGUGGGGGACAACAUUCCGAAAGGAAUGCUAAUACCGCAUACGCCCUACGGGGGAAAGCAGGGGAUCUUCGGACCUUGCGCUAAUAGAUGAGCCUAAGUCAGAUUAGCUAGUUGGUGGGGUAAAGGCCUACCAAGGCGACGAUCUGUAGCGGGUCUGAGAGGAUGAUCCGCCACACUGGGACUGAGACACGGCCCAGACUCCUACGGGAGGCAGCAGUGGGGAAUAUUGGACAAUGGGCGCAAGCCUGAUCCAGCCAUGCCGCGUGUGUGAAGAAGGCCUUAUGGUUGUAAAGCACUUUAGGCGAGGAGGAGGCUACUUUGGUUAAUACCUAGAGAUAGUGGACGUUACUCGCAGAAUAAGCACCGGCUAACUCUGUGCCAGCCGCCGCAGUAACAC
rnacentral:rRNA from 1 species